UUUAUUUAACGUUUUAAAAAAAAUCAAUAGAUCUAAUAUAGACAGUCAUGAGAUCCACUCUAUUUUAUCUAGAUCUAGACCAUACAUGAGAUCAAUAAUUGUCAAUUUAUAUUAAUAUGAAUAUUUAUAGAUCUAGUCAUAGUCAAAUCUAGUGACUCUAGUGUCUCUAGUCCAGAAUCUAGAUUGAAGAUUCUAGAUCUAGAUCUAUCGAUCAUCUAUGAUCUAGUCUGUCUAUAGCUAUACUUACUAUUAUAGGCCUACACUUUUACAGUAUAUGAGUAUACUCAUACGAGUCAUACUGGCUAUACUAUAGUAUAGACACUAUAGUUAGUUACUUAGUAUAGUUAAUACUUUUUAAUAGUAGAUCUAUAAUCUAUCAAUUCUAUCUAAAUUAUUCUAAAUCUAGACUUCACUUUCACAUCACAUUUAUACUUAAAGUGACGAUACUACUUAUAGAUCUACCAGUUGAUAAACAUCAUCAUCAUAGAUAAUAAUCUACAUCUAUAAUCAUAGUGCCCUUUAUUUAGUCAAUAUAGUCAAGUCAAGGUAGUGGAACGUAAACUCGAAGGUUUUAUACAAUAUGUUAUUAACAAGUAGAACCAUGGCAACCAGUUCUGAUGAUGUACCAGAAUGGCUCAAAGAUCAUACUUAUACUAUUUCUACUCUCUGGGCAUCCAUUCAAUAUUUAAUUUAUGUUUGGAAAUGCAAGAAAAAGGCAUGCAUUCCUGAAAAGUCAAUGAUUGGUUGCACCUCUUAAAGAUAACUUUCUGUUAUGAGAAAAGAUGAGAUUCUUGGACUCCUGCAUAGCACCACCAGAAAGGAAAAUCCCAUCAUGUUGCAAAAUAAAAGUCUUGGACCAAUUUUAAUUUAAGAUAUAUAUAUUAUACUGUAAUCUGUAUACAUAUUUAUGUAUAUCCUGUCAUUCAGCCAACAGGUUUGGAUUUAGUAUAUCUUUAAAUCUGUUUGAUAUUGUACUUGAAAACUAUUAAUCUGAGCCCCAUUAAAACAAGAGGGAGUGCAGUAGAUGAGUGGUAAGGGAAAUUUUACUUUUUUAAAAUUAAAAUAAGAAUCUAACAAAAGUUAACAUAUAAAAUAUGGUGCAUUCUCCUUAAAACUAAAACCUGGUGCAAAGGUAAAAAUGUUGGCAAAAAAAAAAGCAACAUCAAUUAAAUAUUCUUAAUUCCCUUUGCAACAUGCAUGUUGUUCCCUCAUAAGUUUCUUGACAGAGGAAAUCUUGUUUAUAUUAGAUUUGAAUUAAGCAAAUUAAGAAAAAAAUUAUAAUCAUUAUUUCAAAUGGUUUUAUCUAAACCUUAUGAAUUAUUUUUCAGUUAUAAGUAUAUUGAAAUGAAUGGAUAAUCAUGAAAUCGUUAAAUAAUUGCUGCUAUCAUUCCAUUGACUAAAGAACCAUAAUUUUUUUUUAAAUUAAUUUCAAAAUGAUUUUUUUCAAGCAGAGUUCACAUAGAUCUUGAGUGAAAUUUUUCUUUUUUUGACUAAUGCUUCAAUUUUAUUGUAUCAUUAGUUUUUUAUUUUUAUUACCCAGAAUAUUUUAAAAAUGAGUACACUAUUUUCAUGUAAUAAUGUAACUUGGUAUUCACACAUCAAAAUACGCUAUAAUCUUUAGGCCAUAUAGAUUUGUAUAAAUAUAAAUUAACUUGCUUAAAUACAUUGUAAAUGUAUAUUGUUUGGAUAAGAAUAAAGUUUUUCUGUAGACAA